GGUAAAGUGGCCGAAUAGGCAUCGAGUUGUAGCCUCGACCAUAAAGGUUUAAGUCCUUUCUCUAUCA
rnacentral:tRNA from 1 species